rnacentral:rRNA from 1 species
UACGUAGGGGGCAAGCGUUGUCCGGAAUUACUGGGCGUAAAGCGCACGUAGGCGGCUUUGUAAGUUAGAGGUGAAAGCCCGGAGCUCAACUCCGGAAUUGCCUUUAAGACUGCAUCGCUCGAAUCCAGGAGAGGUGAGUGGAAUUCCGAGUGUAGAGGUGAAAUUCGUAGAUAUUCGGAAGAACACCAGUGGCGAAGGCGGCUCACUGGACUGGUAUUGACGCUGAGGUGCGAAAGCGUGGGGAGCAAACAGG